UGUGCCAGCAGCCGCGGUAAUACGUAGGGUGCGAGCGUUAAUCGGAAUUACUGGGCGUAAAGCGUGCGCAGGCGGCUUUUUAAGACAGGUGUGAAAUCCCCGGGCUUAACCUGGGAAUGGCGCUUGUGACUGGGAAGCUGGAGUGCGGCAGAGGGGGAUGGAAUUCCACGUGUAGCAGUGAAAUGCGUAGAGAUGUGGAGGAACACCGAUGGCGAAGGCAGUCCCCCGGGUCAGCACUGACGCUCAUGCACGAAAGCGUGGGGAGCAAACAGGAUUAGAUACCCUGGUAGUCCACGCCCUAAACGAUGUCAACUAGUUGUUGGGGAAGGAGACUUCCUUAGUAACGUAGCUAACGCGUGAAGUUGACCGCCUGGGGAGUACGGCCGCAAGGUUAAAACUCAAAGGAAUUGACGGGGACCCGCACAAGCGGUGGAUGAUGUGGAUUAAUUCGAUGCAACGCGAAAAACCUUACCUACCCUUGACAUGUCCGGAAUCCUGCAGAGAUGCGGGAGUGCCCGAAAGGGAAUCGGAACACAGGUGCUGCAUGGCUGUCGUCAGCUCGUGUCGCGAGAUGUUGGGUUAAGUCCCGCAACGAGCGCAACCCUUAUCAUUAGUUGCUACGCAAGGGCACUCUAAUGAGACUGCCGGUGACAAACCGGAGGAAGGUGGGGAUGACGUCAAGUCCUCAUGGCCCUUAUGGGUAGGGCUUCACACGUCAUACAAUGGUCGGUACAGAGGGUUGCCAAGCCGCGAGGUGGAGCCAAUCCCAGAAAGCCGAUCGUAGUCCGGAUUGUUCUCUGCAACUCGAGAGCAUGAAGUCGGAAUCGCUAGUAAUCGCGGAUCAGCAUGUCGCGGUGAAUACGUUCCCGGGUCUUGUACACACCGCCCGUCACACCAUGGGAGUUGGCUGCACCAGAAGCAGGUUGCUU
rnacentral:rRNA from 1 species